rnacentral:rRNA from 1 species
AUUGAACGCUGGCGGCAGGCCUAACACAUGCAAGUCGAGCGAGUGGCGGACGGGUGAGUAAUGUAUGGGAAACUUCCCGAUAGAGGGGGAUAACUACUGGAAACGGUAGCUAAUACCGCAUACUAUCGGAUGAACCCAUAUGGGAUUGGCUAGUAGGUGGGGUAACGGCUCACCUAGGCGACGAUCUCUAGCUGGUCUGAGAGGAGGAUCAGCCACACUGGUACUGAGACACGGCCCAGACUCCUACGUGAUGCAGCAGUGGGGAAUAUUGCACAAUGGGCGGAAGCCUGAUGCAGCCAUGCCGCGUGUAUGAAGAAGGCCUUAGGGUUGUAAAGUACUUGCAGCGUGGAGGCGUUACCCGCAGAAGAAGCACCGGCUAACUCCGUGCCAGCAGCCGCGGUAAUAC